CUAGGAUUCCUGAGUCUGCAGUGCAUGGCUGAAUGUGAGCAGCACCUAGGCUGAGUCUGCCCCUCCCUCUGGUCUCCUUCCAACCCCUCAAGGGACUGAUGGAAAGCUGAGUGGGUCCUGCCUCUUCCCCUGCCUGGGGGUACCUCUACAGCAUCAUUGUCAGUGGUGACCACCAAAAUUAUCCAGAGUUCCAGCAUGGUCAAGAAGCUGAAUGUUCUCCUGCAGCCCCCGGGGUACCACGCACGGGGCUGGGCACACUGCAGGCUCCCAACAUUGGAGAAGGCAGGGAAGCCAUCCUCUCCCAGGAAGGACAGAGUGUCCCUCCGUCCAGCCACUCUGCCUGCCUCCUCCAGCAGGACAUCAUAGAAAUCACAGCAUCUUGGGACAGACAGACAAAAGCCUGAUCUCUAUGGUUGGGUUGUGGAGAGGACAGUGAGAAGAGACUACAAGGAGUAAAACAGUAGCAGAGACAAGGAGGGGGCUCCCCGGCAACCCCUGAGCUCUGGCCCACACUUCCUUGUCUCCUACGUGUUCCCUCCAGGGCAUCUCAGAUCCAUUCAACUGU
rnacentral:lncRNA from 1 species